CGCCACUAACGCGGGAGCGCGUACCGAGCGCGCUGAGAGGACGGGUAGGCCCGUCGACCGUACGAACCUGACCGGGUAAUGCCGGCGUAGGGAGAACGCACAUGUCUGAC
rnacentral:ncRNA from 2 species